rnacentral:rRNA from 1 species
AGCGAACGCUGGCGGCAGGCCUAACACAUGCAAGUCGAACGAACUCUUCGGAGUUAGUGGCGGACGGGUGAGAAACACGUGGGAACGUGCCUUUUGGUUCGGAAUAACUCAGGGAAACUUGUGCUAAUACCGAAUGUGCCCUUCGGGGGAAAGAUUUAUCGCCAUUAGAGCGGCCCGCGUCUGAUUAGCUAGUUGGUGAGGUAACGGCUCACCAAGGCGACGAUCAGUAGCUGGUCUGAGAGGAUGACCAGCCACACUGGGACUGAGACACGGCCCAGACUCCUACGGGAGGCAGCAGUGGGGAAUCUUGCGCAAUGGGCGAAAGCCUGACGCAGCCAUGCCGCGUGAAUGAUGAAGGUCUUAGGAUUGUAAAAUUCUUUCACCGGGGACGAUAAUGACGGUACCCGGAGAAGAAGCCCCGGCUAACUUCGUG